AGCGAACGCUGGCGGCAGGCUUAACACAUGCAAGUCGAGCGGGCGUAGCAAUACGUCAGCGGCAGACAGGUGAGUAACGCGUGGGAACGUACCUUUUGGUUCGGAACAACACAGGGAAACUUGUGCUAAUACCGGAUAAGCCCUUACGGGGAAAGAUUUAUCGCCGAAAGAUCGGCCCGCGUCUGAUUAGCUAGUUGGUGAGGUAACGGCUCACCAAGGCGACGAUCAGUAGCUGGUCUGAGAGGAUGAUCAGCCACAUUGGGACUGAGACACGGCCCAAACUCCUACGGGAGGCAGCAGUGGGGAAUAUUGGACAAUGGGCGCAAGCCUGAUCCAGCCAUGCCGCGUGAGUGAUGAAGGCCCUAGGGUUGUAAAGCUCUUUUGUGCGGGAAGAUAAUGACGGUACCGCAAGAAUAAGCCCCGGCUAACUUCGUGCCAGCCGCCGCCGUAA
rnacentral:rRNA from 1 species